rnacentral:rRNA from 1 species
GAUGAACGCUAGCGACAGGCUUAACACAUGCAAGUCGAGGGGCAGCGGGAUUGAAGCUUGCUUCAAUUGCCGGCGACCGGCGCACGGGUGAGUAACACGUAUGCAACCUGCCCGCCACAGGGGAAUAACCGGAAGAAAUUCCGACUAAUUCCGCGUAACACCUCAGGGAGGCAUCUUCCCGAAGGUCAAAGGAGCAAUCCGGUGGCGGAUGGGCAUGCGGCGCAUUAGCUAGUCGGCGGGGUAACGGCCCACCGAGGCGACGAUGCGUAGGGGUUCUGAGAGGAAGGUCCCCCACACUGGUACUGAGACACGGACCAG